UCAUCCGUUUCAUUUUUGCCCCAAGAUCGAGCUUGCUCUUCUUGGUCACGACCCUUGGUUCCUGUGUUGACUUCCCAUCGUACGGAAAAAUUCGUCGGAUAGCCCCGCACCUGUCCUCCUUGUCGCUUUGCGGCUGCAAUGCGGACCUCGAAAGCAGUCCCCGUGUCCCGUAGGUGUCCUCCGACUUCUGUCGUGGCUGUCUCGGUCCACAGGACAACUGCUCGUGCUCUCGGAUGUGGAAAAUUAAGCGGCCGUGGGGGGUCUUGGCCUCCGGUCGCUCCAAUCAAGUCCCUCGAUAAGAAUGACUCUCGCUACCUCAUUGACCGCAGGCCGUCUAGGCCCGUGGCAUCAAUGCGGGUCCGAAGUCGAGAAAGAAUGCUAC
rnacentral:misc_RNA from 1 species